GGGCAGCCUGAUCAGCCAUGCCGCGUGUGCGAAGAAGGCCUUCGGGUUGUAAAGCACUUUUGUCAGGAACGAAAAGUUUCGCGCUAAUACCGCGGGACGAUGACGGUACCUGAAGAAUAAGCACCGGCUAACUACGUGCCAGCAGCCGCGGUAAUAC
rnacentral:rRNA from 1 species